rnacentral:siRNA from 1 species
CGUUUGCCAGUUUCCUUAAAUCUG